UUCAACAAAAAAAGACAGAAAUGUUCAAGUGUGGCUUUUCCUCCCAUCUUAAUAGGCUCAAUGCAAACUCCCCACUGAGGGUCUGAGAGGCUGAAACGCAUUGUUACUGUCUACCUUAGCGGCUCGCUCCCGUCUGCUCCGCAGAGUGGCCUCGUUUAGCCAGGCCGUUCCUACCGCCAUCCAUCGGGAGCUCGGCUAAUGAGCAGAGGAGGAAGAGCCGAGUCUCGCUCACACACCAACACGCCACUUAUCUGAAUUAUUAUUUUACCAGCAAAGAGGGGAGGAGGGCGUCGCGAGCAGGGAGAAAGUUUGUUUGACCUUAUUUCCCUCUUCCGCAGCAGGCUGGGAAGGCAGGCAGCUGAGCCCACGUCCAGGCUGAGCUCAACUCCCCACCUCCACCUGCGGACCCUGAACCCUACAGAGCCCCACUGUCGGGGGGCGUGGGGGGGUCCGACGAAACACGGGGGAGAGAGGAAGGAGGGAAGGCGCAGGGCUCACGGUAACCCUAAAAACAGAAAGCCUCAGAGACCCAAGGGUUUUAUGCCACGUGUCAAGUUGUAAGCUCAUCUCAGCUCUUCUGACCUAGAGAAGUAACCAGAAGAGUUCUGUGAUGAACACUGCUUAGCUAGUGUUUCUCAGAAUUCUUUCCCUGGAAAUCCCACCAAAAACCGAUUGUGACAUCUGACAUCAUUCUCUGCACUUCUGAGAUGACACACAAACAGGCUGAAAAGUUCACCUAGAGUAAUGUAACAGCUUUAGGAUUGUAAUUCAGUGCUGUCCUCUGGCCAAAAUAUUUUGAACCAUCUAAUGAAAAGACCAUACGUUGCAAAGAAAUAGAUCACCAGUUUUUGGGUGCUUUUUCAUUAUUUUUAAAUAAAUGACCAAUUUCGUUUCUUCUCAGAAUAUUUCUGCAUGUGGGUUAGUUCACUCUCUGCCUGUCUCCUUCCCCCAACUUUGCACUUCUUAACAAGUGUUGGGACUGGGGAUUUA
rnacentral:lncRNA from 1 species